rnacentral:rRNA from 1 species
AGCGGCGGACGGGUGAGUAACGCGUAGGAAUCUACCCAGUAGUGGGGGACAACUCGGGGAAACCCGAGCUAAUACCGCAUACGCCCUAAGGGGGAAAGCAGGGGAUCUUCGGACCUUGCGCUAUCGGAUGAGCCUGCGUCGGAUUAGCUUGUUGGUGAGGUAAUGGCUCACCAAGGCGACGAUCCGUAGCUGGUCUGAGAGGAUGAUCAGCCACACUGGGACUGAGACACGGCCCAGACUCCUACGGGAGGCAGCAGUGGGGAAUAUUGGACAAUGGGGGAAACCCUGAUCCAGCCAUGCCGCGUGUGUGAAGAAGGCUCUAGGGUUGUAAAGCACUUUCAGUAGGGAGGAAAAGUUGAUAGCUAAUAACUGUCAGCCCUGACGUUACCUACAGAAGAAGCACCGGCAAACUCCGUGCCAGCAGCCGCGGUAAUACGGAGGGUGCGAGCGUUAAUCGGAAUUACUGGGCGUAAAGCGCGCGUAGGCGGUUUGAUAAGCUGGAUGUGAAAGCCCCGGGCUCAACCUGGGAACUGCAUCCAGAACUGUCUGACUAGAGUACAGUAGAGGUGAGUGGAAUUCCCUGUGUAGCGGUGAAAUGCGUAGAUAUAGGUGGACCAUCAGUGGCGAACGCGGCUCACUGUACUGAUACUGACGCUGAGUGCCGAAGCGUGGGGAGCAACAGGAUUAGAUACCCUGGUAGUC